rnacentral:rRNA from 1 species
AGUGAACGCUGGCGGCAGGCCUAACACAUGCAAGUCGAACGGCAGCACAGUGGAGCUUGCUCCAUGGGUGGCGAGUGGCGGACGGGUGAGGAAUACAUCGGAAUCUGCCCAGUCGUGGGGGAUAACAUAGGGAAACUUAUGCUAAUACCGCAUACGACCUACGGGUGAAAGCGGGGAUCGCAAGACCUCGCGCGAUUGGAUGAGCCGAUGUCCGAUUAGCUAGUUGGCGGGGUAAUGGCCCACCAAGGCGACGAUCGGUAGCUGGUCUGAGAGGAUGAUCAGCCACACUGGAACUGAGACACGGUCCAGACUCCUACGGGAGGCAGCAGUGGGGAAUAUUGGACAAUGGGCGCAAGCCUGAUCCAGCCAUGCCGCGUGGGUGAAGAAGGCCUCGG